rnacentral:rRNA from 1 species
UGGGGAAUAUUGGACAAUGGGCGAAAGCCUGAUCCAGCCAUGCCGCGUGUGUGAAGAAGGUCUUCGGAUUGUAAAGCACUUUAAGUUGGGAGGAAGGGCAGUUACCUAAUACGUGAUUGUUUUGACGUUACCGACAGAAUAAGCACCGGCUAACUCUGUGCCAGCAGCCGCGGUAAUACAGAGGGUGCAAGCGUUAAUCGGAAUUACUGGGCGUAAAGCGCGCGUAGGUGGUUAGUUAAGUUGGAUGUGAAAUCCCCGGGCUCAACCUGGGAACUGCAUUCAAAACUGACUGACUAGAGUAUGGUAGAGGGUGGUGGAAUUUCCUGUGUAGCGGUGAAAUGCGUAGAUAU